UACGUAGGGUGCGAGCGUUGUCCGGAAUUAUUGGGCGUAAAGAGCUUGUAGGCGGUCUGUCGCGUCUGCUGUGAAAAUCCGGGGCUCAACCCCGGACUUGCAGUGGGUACGGGCAGACUAGAGUGUGGUAGGGGAGACUGGAAUUCCUGGUGUAGCGGUGAAAUGCGCAGAUAUCAGGAGGAACACCGAUGGCGAAGGCAGGUCUCUGGGCCACUACUGACGCUGGAGAAGCGGAAAAGCAUGGGGAGCGAACAGG
rnacentral:rRNA from 1 species